AAAUUGAAGAGUUUGAUCAUGGCUCAGAUUGAACGCUGGCGGCAGGCCUAACACAUGCAAGUCGAACGGUAACAGGAAGAAGCUUGCUUCUUUGCUGACGAGUGGCGGACGGGUGAGUAAUGUCUGGGAAACUGCCUGAUGGAGGGGGAUAACUACUGGAAACGGUAGCUAAUACCGCAUAAUGUCGCAAGACCAAAGAGGGGGACCUUCAGGCCUCUU
rnacentral:rRNA from 1 species